rnacentral:rRNA from 1 species
AUGUACUACAUACUGUACAAGGCCAGCCAAUUAAGUCCUGCAACAGAAUACAUGGAACCCAAGAGAAAGAAAGGAAAAAAAAAUAUGCAUGCACAAGGACGUGUACAAAGUCCAUACAGGAAGAAUUGUUUGCUCGAUCGGCCGUCAGACUCUGAGCAGGUAGAUGCUGAGCUCGGGUCCUCCGCUGCCGUCGGGGUUCAUCAUGUAGAACGCCUCCGAGUCCCUCGAUCCGACGACCCGCUCGAACUUGGCGCGCAUGUACAUCAGAUCGCCCUCGCCGGCGCCGCCUGCGGCCCCGGCGGCACCGUCGUCCGGGAGCACGCCGGCGCCGACGGACACCUGCUCCACGGCGCCCAGCACGCGCCACUCGUCGGCGCCGCACUCGCGGUGCACCGCGUAGCCGCACUUGAGCCCGUUGCAGUACGCGCGCCACGUCGGCUCCUCCAGCAGCGGCCGCCGCUUCUCCCCUGCACGUGCUUGCGGGUUAAUCUGUGUGGCCUUGGCGCUUGA